GCGCGAAAACUUUACAAUGCUGGCAACAGCGAUAAGGGAACCUCGAGUGCCAGGUUACAAAUCUGGCUGUCGUGAUGCCUAAAAAGCAUUGCAUAGCAAGGGCCGGGCAAGACCGGUGCCAGCCGCCGCGGUAACACCGGCGGCUCGAGUGGUAACCGUUAUUAUUGGGUCUAAAGGGUCUGUAGCCGGCCGGAUAAGUCUCUUGAGAAAUCUGGCAGCUUAACUGUCAGGCUUUCAGGAGAUACUGUCUGGCUCGAGGCCGGGAGAGGUGAGAGGUACUUCAGGGGUAGGGGUGAAAUCUUGUAAUCCUUGAAGGACCACCAGUGGCGAAGGCGUCUCACCAGAACGGACCUGACGGCAAGGGACGAAAGCUAGGGGCACGAACCGGAUUAGAUACCCGGGUAGUCCUAGCCGUAAACGAUACUCGCUAGGUGUCGGCCACGGUGCGACCGUUGUCGGUGCCGUAGGGAAGCCGUGAAGCGAGCCACCUGGGAAGUACGGCCG
rnacentral:rRNA from 1 species